CGCACUUCCCCUCAGAUCCUCUCCGGGGAGAGAACGAAAUGACGAUAAAACAGGGCGUCGGGGUGGGUGGGGGUUACUUGUUUUAUCUCCCCCUCCCCCGAAACGUUCAGACGCAGGGAAAUUAUUUUCGCGAACCGCAAACCCGACUGACAGAUCCAGUAGCGGCGAAGCAAAUGACCUUUUGGCCCGCGCGCCUGGCCCUGUUAAACUCCGCCGUUCCCUGCGGAAAUCAAAGCCCUUGCUGCGGUGAUCCAAAAAGGCCUUAGGCCGGUGUCGGCGGCUCUCAUGGUGGAGUUCAAGGAGCUUUUCCAGAAACCAAGAACCGUGUUACAUGGUCAUCCUAAACGAGACGUGUCGCUGAAACGAAUAGGACUUCUUUCCAGACUGAUCAACCUUUGAACUUGACGUGAAUUCAUCAUUGCAAGAGAAUGUUUCAUCCCUAAAGAAGCCUUGAGUGUUGGCUUGAAAUCUUUCCUGUUGAGAACUGUUGCUUUGUGGGACUCCAGGUUCUGCAAAGUGACCGCAAGAGGAGCCAUUGUGUGACCUUCUAAAAUCCCGGGAGUGUUAUCCGUGGAGG